ensembl:lncRNA
GUUCUCUCAAGAUGAAUUGGUUCAAAUUUGCAUUUAAAAUAGCAGAUGGGGAAAAUAAAAUGACUAAGCUUCACUACUGUGAGUCAUCAUUUUGUGAAACAACACAAUUUAUAUAAUACAGGUAAAGGAAGAAAAACUCCAUUUCCCCUAUGAAAAUUAGGUGGAAGAGAAAAGGCCUUCAAAUGUAUUGAAGAAGAAACUGACUUUUUAAAAAAAUGUUAAGAAGUGUGAUUUCCUCCAGCUUCUUUCCUCUUUCUUAGGAAAAGGAUGAGCCUUCUGAAUUUCCUGGAGCCUGGACAAGCCAUCUAAUCUGACCACUACACCACAAUGCUGAGUAAUCUGAAGGCUUGAACUUCCAGAGUCAGAUCAGAGAAGAAGAGGAUAACCUUUCUCUUGAAACAUGAAAAUGCCCUGCCCCAUACCUGUUUGAAGACUGUGGAGCACUCUGCCAACCUUGGCUGUACUGUUGUACACCCACUAUAUAUUCUGGAUUUGGCACUUCUGACUUCCAUCUGGUCAGGAGGAUGAAAGAUGGACUGCAUGACAUCAUCACAGCAAUUGUGAAAGAGUAGGUCACCUCCGUUGGUGACGAUUUUAAUGAGUGCAGCUUUUUCAUUGCUGGCAAAAAUGCAUAGCUGACAGUGGUAACUAUGUUGAAAAAUAGUGUUUUGUAGCUAAAAAUUUCAUGUACCAAAGAGUGUUAUUGUGCUCUUGGUAUGUUGGUAGUUUCCAUGGAAAUAAAUAGGAGGCAUUACAAUUUUCCAGGUGUGGCCUCAACAGGGCAGAGUACAGGAGAAGAAUAUAACCUCCCUUAAUCUACCAGCCAAAAUCUUUUUAAUGCACACUAAGAUAUCAUUGGCCUUCUUGGCCACAAGGGCACACUGGUGACUUACAGGUAUUACACGUACCCAUGUUGAUAUAGAAUCAUAGAAUCAUAGAAUCACUCAGGCUGGAAAAGACCUUUAUGAUCAUCAAGUCCAACCAUGACCUAACCAUACUACCCUAACUCUAACAACCCUCUGCUAAAUCAUGUCCCUGAGCA